UACGGAGGGGGCUAGCGUUGUUCGGAAUUACUGGGCGUAAAGCGCACGUAGGCGGCUUUGUAAGUUAGAGGUGAAAGCCCAGAGCUCAACUCUGGAACUGCCUUUAAGACUGCAUCGCUUGAAUCAUGGAGAGGUCAGUGGAAUUCCGAGUGUAGAGGUGAAAUUCGUAGAUAUUCAGAAGAACACCAGUGGCGAAGGCGACUGACUGGACAUGUAUUGACGCUGAGGUGCGAAAGCGUGGGGAGCAAACAGG
rnacentral:rRNA from 1 species